rnacentral:rRNA from 1 species
AGCGAACGCUGGCGGCAAGCUUAACACAUGCAAGUCGAACGAUGUAGCAAUACAUAGUGGCGGACGGGUGCAUAACACGUGGGAAUCUGCCCUUCAGUACGGAAUAACUCAGGGAAACUUGAGCUAAUACCGUAUAAUAUCUCCGGAUCAAAGAUUUAUCGCUGAAGGAUGAGCCCGCGGCAGAUUAGCUAGUUGGUGGGGUAAUGGCCUACCAAGGCAACGAUCUGUAGCUGGUCUUAGAGGAUGAUCAGCCACACUGGGACUGAGACACGGCCCAGACUCCUAUGGGAGGCAGCAGUGGGGAAUAUUGGACAAUGGGCGAAAGCCUGAUCCAGCUAUGCCGCGUGAGUGAUGAAGGCCUUAGGGUUGUAAAGCUCUUUUAGAUGGGAAGAUAAUGACGGUACCAUCAGAAAAAGCCCCGGCUAACUUCGUGCCAGCAGCCGCAGUAA